GGAGUGCGCCACUGGUCGCGCUGUCGGCGCAGGCGUGCACCGUCCUGCAGCGCCUCACGUGUCGGCGCAAUGCCACCGUGACAAGAACGAGCGCCCACAUUGCCUCGCGGAGCCUGCUCACGUUCGAGGCGCCAACACGAGCACUGGCCACUCACGGUUCCUGGUGCGGUGUCGCAGCAACGCCGGCGACCGUCGCAGGUUGAACCUUUGGUGCUCGCAUGUACAGGGUGGACAAGCUGAGCGCCAGUACCAAGGCCACCACUCCCACAAGCAGCCCUGGGACUGAUUCGCCGAUACGCCGCAAACGACGCCACAAGUGCGUAAGAACAUUUCGCACUACGCGGAUUUUAUUUAGAUAAGGACCUACCUUUAGCCUCUGUGCUCAAGGCCUGUCGGACGCCUUCGGUGGACAGAGGCAGCUGAGCAGCCUGCGAGAAAGUGUGCGUUACUGUAGGUGUUUUGGAAAUCACCAAAGUUCUCAUAGCACGAAGGCUUUUGUUCCUUUCUUUUUCUAGUUUACGAACUCUCUGCAUUUUUUUUUUCUUUCUUUUUGUAGUGCUUCAAGUACCUAAGUUGAAAUUCUGCUUGCAACAUAGAUUACAGUAUAGAUUUAGUUAUUCCUUAAGUUUAAAAGAAAUCUUGCUUACACCGAUUCAGCAGUAUUCUGCGUUUCACAUGUAUUUGAAUGGGCAACUCGGAGGUGCCUAUCCGAGCUUCCUCUCGAGUCGGACAAGUUGUGCGGGGAGGCACACUUGUCCGACUGAUUUCGCGUAUCCCUUAUUGCAUGACUGGCCUUGCGUGAUCCUGGCAAGCCAUUUGUUGCUGCGCGCACACGUCUAGAGGACU